AACAAUUAAGUAGACCAUGAUAGAAGGUAUUUUGUUAAGUCACGCACUUAAAACACGUAAAACAUGGGAAAAAAAUCAGAUCAGGAAGAACAAAUCCAGAUGGAAUUGAGAUGCAUCUGGAUAUAAUAAAGAACUCAAGCAAGAAACUUCAUGGAAAGUUUACAAAAGCAGUGCAUGGUGAGUCAGCCUAUGACUGACCACACAUAGUCAAACAAACCAGAAUCCAAGGUGUUGGAUUUUGGAACCAAUCAAGAAGAAAGGUGAUAAAAAAAACACAGCAAAUUAGUCACAAGUCUAGUUGAACUGUUAAAGAUUGCAAGGAAACAGAACAUUUAUCUGCAAGAAAGAGGUAAUAUUUCUCUGCAAUCUCUAUAAGAGACAUUUGGAUUUACCAACAACCCCUAAAUCAAGAAACCACAGAUGAUGAUUGAACCAAAAGACAGGUUGAAAGAUUCAAGAAAACAGAUAAACCCUGCAAUUCAAAAGGAGUUGAUUGUGAAAAGGCACCUACUUCUCAAUCCAGACGGCAUCAUCUAUGGGUGGGAAAGGAAAGAAUGUUAAUAUCAUGAAAACUAACAGACUGAUAAACUGCCUGGCAAAGUUAAUUUUCUUAGAAAAUCCAGUUUUUCAUUUGUUUGUUCCAAGAGAAACUUAACAAAUUUGAAACUUUCAUCCCGAAUAUCUGAAAAACCAACGGAAAAAAGUGGUAGUUUCCGUUUUCCUUUUCCCUAUAUCUAAUUGCUACCGAACAAACCCUAAAAAGGAAAAUAAUUAAUUGCAGUUCCCGAAAGAAAAGAGAAAAGUGCCCCUUUCCAACCGUCUAAAACGAUACAGAGAUAAGAAGACAUAUGGCAGUUACGGACUGUCUAAAAGACGAAUUAAAUUAAUGAAAGCCAAACAUGGAGCCCCAACGGACAUGAAUCACUCGAUUUAAUAUUCAAAAUCCGAAUUUUUUUGUUUUUUUCUAGAAAGAAAGCUCGAAAAAAGAAGGAUCUUAAGAAAGGAAGUAUUGCACAAAAAAAAAAAAAAAAACUGGAACCAGCGUGAAAAAAAAUGUCAAGAGAACCCCAAACCAGCGAACCCCUAAUAAUGAGGCCAACGGAUGAAAGAAACCGUAACCAUAUACUCCGAGAAAACCACCGAUUAAGAUCUUAUACCAAGCAAGACCGAAAAUUUCAUCAAGAUCCAAUUCUUUUAGAAGCCCAAAAUCCCCAGAUGAAACUAAUUAAUCUAUAAAGAAAGACAAGGAAAACAAAAAAAAAUAAUGUUCAAAUCAGCAUACCUGAAUGGGAGAGAGGCUGCCUUGGAUGAACUGAUCGAGGGUCUGGUUCUUCGCCUGCAAACGCUGGCAGACCUUGCUGUCCUGGAGGCAGCUCCGGAUCUUGGCCCAGUUUUUGCCGUUGUUGACCCUCUUCUGAAGCCAGUUGGAGUAGUCCCCGAGGCGGUACUCCUUGUAACCCCGGCCAGAGACGACCUCACCGGCGCCCUUGUUGGUGACAACGAAGGCGAAGACGGUGAAGCAGAAGAGGAGGACGAUGAGGAGGAACAUGCAGAAGAGGUAAACCCAGAGGAGCCAGGAGACGCGGCAGCAGGCGCCGACGAGCCCCGCGAGAGAGACGACCAUCAAGAACACGCCGACGGCGAUCACCGGCCCCUGGAGAAACUUCUCGCAGUCGGUGCUCCCCCUCGUCGCCAGCCAUAUCCCGCUGCCGAGGAUCGGGAUCGACAGGAGGAACGUCAAAAAGUUCAGGAUCCCGAUCAGGUUGUUGCUCAGCCGAAACAUCUUCUUGAUUUCUUCUUCACCUUGGGCCUAUACACACCGCGGAGGACCAGAACUCAAAGGUAGAGUUGGGGAGAGGGAGAGGAGCGGAAAUGAGGAAUGCGUUGAAAGGGCGAGAGACAAGCGUAGGCAUAAAUAGCGACCGGGGAGUCGGUAGCGUGAGUGUGUAAUUGGGGAAGGCCGCGUGGGAGUUCAAACAGGAAACAGCGAACCGCGUGACGCAACGCGUACAUCAGUUUCCAGGCAAUGGAUGUCGUGGACCUCGUGGUCGAACGGAUAAGUUAAGCCUUUGGAUGAGUUUUUUUUUUUUUUU
rnacentral:lncRNA from 1 species